UGCUUUGGGGUCAUUCCAUGCUUUUAUCAUUCAGCUCUUUUUUUUUUUCUUUUUAGAUGGGUGUGCUGCUCUCCACAAAGCUUCUAUGUUUAUUUUUCCUUAUCAUUCUAAGCAUGGCUGGAAAGGGUUUUCGACUAUGAUUGGAAUCUGUUCCAGUCUAUUUUUCUUGCAGGCUCUUUGGACUGAGGAUUUGGUGGUCAAGCUAAGAUUGUUUUGUAGGAAAACUAUGCUGAAUGUUUUAAUUCUUAUCUUCCAUUUUUUUAUGCUGACUACUUGUAGCCCUAUAAUAUUAUAAUGUUAUUUUGUAAAUCUUAGUAUAGGGGGCCAUCAGCUCUUAGAUUUUUUUUUUAACUUUUUUUUUGUAGCUCUGUCAAGCAUUAACGAGCUGAAGGUUCCCUUUAAGGACCUUGUAACCUUAUUUUAUAUUAAUGUGUAGGCCCCUACGAAGAUUUUCAAAAAAAAAA